CCUACGGGUGGCAGCAGUGAGGAAUAUUGGUCAAUGGGCGCGAGCCUGAACCAGCCAAGUAGCGUGAAGGAUGACUGCCCUACGGGUUGUAAACUUCUUUUAUAAAGGAAUAAAGUGAGGGACGUGUGCCUUUUUGUAUGUACUUUAUGAAUAAGGAUCGGCUAACUCCGUGCCAGCAGCCGCGGUAAGACGGAGGGUCCGAGCUUUAUCCGGAUUGGUUUGGUUUAAAGGGAGCGGAGAGUGGCUGUUAAGUCAGUUGUGAAAGUUUGGGGCUCAACCUGAAAACUGCAUUUGAAACUGGCAGUCUUGAGUACAGUAGAGGUAGGCGGAAUUCGAGGGGUAGCGGUGAAAUGCUUAGAUAUCACGAAGAACUCCGAUUGCGAAGGCAGCUUCCUAAACUGCCACUGACGUUGAGGCUCGAAAGUGUGGGUAUCAAACAGGAUUAGAUACCCGUGUAGUC
rnacentral:rRNA from 1 species